rnacentral:tRNA from 1 species
GGAGGGGUGGCCGAGCGGCUGAAGGCGGCGGUCUUGAAAACCGCAUCCCGGCAACGGGACGGGGGUUCGAAUCCCUCCCCCUCCGCCA